GACGAACGCUGGCGGCGUGCCUAAUACAUGCAAGUAGAACGCUGAAGGAGGAGCUUGCUCUUCUGGAUGAGUUGCGAACGGGUGAGUAACGCGUAGGUAACCUGCCUGGUAGCGGGGGAUAACUAUUGGAAACGAUAGCUAAUACCGCAUAAGAGUAGAUGUUGCAUGACAUUUACUUAAAAGUUGCACUUGCAUCACUACCAGAUGGACCUGCGUUGUAUUAGCUAGUUGGUGGGGUAACGGCUUACCAAGGCGACGAUACAUAGCCGACCUGAGAGGGUGAUCGGCCACACUGGGACGGAGACACGGCCCAGACUCCUAAGGGAGGCAGCAGGAGGGAAGCUUCGGCAAUGGACGGAAGUCUGACCGAGCAACGCCGCGUGAGUGAAGAAGGGUUUCGGAUCGGAAAGAUCUGUUGUAAGAGAAGAACGAGUGUGAGAGUGGAAAGUUCACACUGUGACGGUAUCUUACCAGAAAGGGACGGCUAACUACGUG
rnacentral:rRNA from 1 species